AGAGUUUGAUCCUGGCUCAGGAUAAACGCUGGCGGCGCACAUAAGACAUGCAAGUCGAACGAACUUAACCAUUAGUUUACUAUUGGAGCGGUUAGUGGCGGACUGGUGAGUAACACGUAAGCAACCUGCCUAUCAGAGGGGAACAACAGUUAGAAAUGACUGCUAAUACCGCAUAUGCCUUGAGUAUCACAUGGUACAAAAGGGAAAGGAGCAAUCCGCUGAUAGAUGGGCUUGCGUCUGAUUAGAUAGUUGGUGAGGUAACGGCCCACCAAGUCGACGAUCAGUAGCCGGACUGAGAGGUUGAACGGCCACAUUGGGACUGAGAUACGGCCCAGACUCCUACGGGAGGCAGCAGUCGGGAAUAUUGCGCAAUGGAGGAAACUCUGACGCAGUGACGCCGCGUAUAGGAAGAAGGUUUUCGGAUUGUAAACUAUUGUCGUUAGGGAAGAUACAAGACAGUACCUAAGGAGGAAGCUCCGGCUAACUACGUGCCAGCAGCCGCGGUAAUACGUAGGGAGCAAGCGUUAUCCGGAUUUAUUGGGUGUAAAGGGUGCGUAGACGGGAAAUUAAGUUAGUUGUGAAAUCCCUCGGCUUAACUGAGGAACUGCAACUAAAACUGAUUUUCUUGAGUGCUGGAGAGGAAAGUGGAAUUCCUAGUGUAGCGGUGAAAUGCGUAGAUAUUAGGAGGAACACCAGUGGCGAAGGCGACUUUCUGGACAGUAACUGACGUUGAGGCACGAAAGUGUGGGGAGCAAACAGGAUUAGAUACCCUGGUAGUCCACACCGUAAACGAUGGAUACUAGGUGUAGGAAAUGAUUUCAUUUUCUGUGCCGUCGCAAACGCAAUAAGUAUCCCACCUGGGGAGUACGGCCGCAAGGUUGAAACUCAAAGGAAUUGACGGGGGCCCGCACAAGCAGUGGAGUAUGUGGUUUAAUUCGACGCAACGCGAAGAACCUUACCAGGGCUUGACAUAUACAUGAAAGUCUAAGAGAUUAGACCCCUCUUCGGAGCGUGUAUACAGGUGGUGCAUGGUUGUCGUCAGCUCGUGUCGUGAGAUGUUGGGUUAAGUCCCGCAACGAGCGCAACCCCUGUUCUUAGUUACCAGCGAGUUAAGUCGGGAACUCUAAGAAGACUGCCGGUGAUAAAUCGGAGGAAGGUGGGGACGACGUCAAAUCAUCAUGCCCUUUAUGUCCUGGGCUACACACGUACUACAAUGGCUGUAACAAAGGGAAGCUAAGCCGCGAGGUGGAGCAAAACCCAAAAAAGCAGUCUCAGUUCGGAUUGAAGGCUGAAAUUCGCCUUCAUGAAGCCGGAAUUGCUAGUAAUGGCAGGUCAGCAUACUGCCGUGAAUACGUUCCCGGGCCUUGUACACACCGCCCGUCACACCAUGAGAGUUGGGAAUACCCGAAGCCUGUGAGCUAACUUUUAGAGGCAGCAGUCGAAGGUAGAAUCAAUGAUUGGGGUGAAGUCGUAACAAGGUAGCCGUAUCGGAAGGUGCGGCUG
rnacentral:rRNA from 1 species